rnacentral:lncRNA from 1 species
ACUUUAUAGAGUGGGCCGAACGAGUUCAGAGUGGGAUAUUCCACGUGUGGGUUGCUCCUUCUGCCUGGGUCCCUGAGUGAGAAGAGCUGCCCAUGGCCUCCAUAUACAAAGAAUGAAGAAUAGCUGCCAGUGGUCCUACAAAUUUGAAGAUUUGAAGCCCAUUACAGUGUUGAAGAUGGUUUUCUUCCCGUUGCCAUCAUUUCAAGUUAGGGUGGAUUUGACUCCGAGAGGCUCAGAGCUGUAAACUCCUCCAGGGCAGGACCUGACUCUUCAGAAGAAUUUUUUAACCCCUGCACCCCCACCCCCCACCCUGGAGCUGCCCAGGUCAAGGCCCUGAUAGAGCAGACGUUCAAGAGCAAUGACUAACUGCAGUUGAAAGCCCAGAAGAUACAACAAGCAAAAUCCUGCAUAUAGCCCUGGAGGGACGUGGAGGUGAGCCAGAACUGGAGGGCCUCCGCUUCAGUGGGAUGACCGAGACUCAACAGCAUGAGAAUUUGCCAGCAGUGAGGGCCAUCAAAGACCAGAGCUGCUCCACAUGGCUGUGAGCUGCCCAGGGGCAAAGGCUGUGUCUUUCUGGCCCUCAGUCCCCAGCAUCUAGUACAAUGCCUGGCACCUGAGUUCUCAAUAAAGAGUGACCAGAAUGAGCUGCUUCUUCAGGAAUUUACACUAACCCCACAGAAUUCAAUGUUUAGGCAGCUUGCUAAACAUUUAUCAGAUCGCCCCAAGUGGAAGAACCAGUCAAGAAGUCACUUCUCAGUGCUUCCAAUUUUCUGCUUAACCAUAAAAAAGUGAAGAAAUGACACCGAUUGGCUAAUUCAUGUUGUUCUGACGUCGACCCACUUCGUGAGGAGCACGUCUCCUUGGAAGAAAGAAGUUCUAAGAGAACCGAGGAAUGAUCAGAGGACAUCUACGAGAACUGCAAGCGUUUAAACCGCAGGUUGUAGCCGUGGCCUUGAUAGUGCAGUCUCAUUAAUACACACAGAUGGGAGCGUACGGGUGAUAAUGUAUCCUCACAGCUCACAUCGCCGUUCACCCUUGACAGAUGAGCUUCCUCCUACUCCCCAUCCCCGUGAAAACCUUCUAAUGUUAACUCCCACUGCUUCCCUCCCCUUGGCCUCUAAACUUUAUUAUAACCACCUAGCCUUUCCUCCAAGUCUUUUAUAUUAAUUAGAGGGCUAUGUGAUAUGGCCUUACCGCUUUAAGAUCAACUUCUCCAGGAGUUCCUGCUGUGGCGCAGCAGAAAUGAACCUGACUAGUAUCCAUGAGGAUGUGGGUUCCAUCCCUGGCCUCGCUCAAUGGGUCGGGGAUCCGGUGUUGCCAUGAGCUGUGGUGUAGGUUGCAGAUAUGGCCUGGAUCCCGAGUGGCUGUGGCUGUGGCUGUGGCCAGCAGCUGUAGCUCCGAUUCAACCCCUAGCCUGGGAACUUCCAUAUGCUGCGGGUGUGGCCCUAAGAAGCAAAAAAAAGAAAAAAA